CAAAUACUCCCUCCAUCCGGAAAUACUUGUCAUCAAAAUGGAUAAAAGGAAAUGUAUCUAGACGUAUUUUAGUUUUAGAUACAUCUCUUUUUAUCCAUUUUGAUCACAAGUAUUUUCGGACGGAGGGAGUAGAAA
rnacentral:pre_miRNA from 1 species